rnacentral:lncRNA from 1 species
GAGGGGACUGGUCUAUGAAUUGUACAAUACAGCUGUUGAAUAGGCAGGUCUUAACCUCUCACUAGGUUCCCUGGGCUUCUUGGAGGAAGGGGAGAGUGGCUUAGUAACAGGCUUAUGUUCUCUUUUCUCAUGCCCAGCAAGUGCUGUGAAACUUAAUAAGCUGACCUUCCUUCAAGCUUCAUCCUUCAGUUUUACUUUAAUGGCCUUUUUAAUUAGGAUAUCGGGGCUGGCAAAGGCAAGUAUUAUGCUGUUAACUACCCGCUCCGAGACGGGAUUGAUGACGAGUCCUAUGAUUGGUUGGCGGUGGAGGGGAGCAAAGCACCCCCACCAUACCUCAGGAAUCUCUCCUUACUAAAGCUGGU